ACGGUAAUUUACGAAUUCAUUCAUCCUUCCCGUGUCGGUGAUCGCAGAAAGGGAACGGGAUGGAAAAAUCUCGACUUCUCUCUUCGUCUACCAUUGAUCAGUCCCUUCAUACGCCCCUCUCCUUCCUCGCCUCAUCUUCCAAACCCCUCCUUGACUGCCUCUUCAACUCCACCUACCCCUUCACCACCAACUUCCCCCCUCCCAACGUCGCCCCACUUCUCCGCCGCAGCCGUAUCAAAGGCGUCUCUCCUCCUCCUCCUUCCUCGAUAUGUAGUACCUGAUGGGUCUUCUUUUUCGGCCAAGUCAGAGCUCUCUUCCGCAAAAUCAUCGACUGGAUGACCUUAUUGCUUGGCCGUCCGGGCUGUGGGAAGACCACAUUGUUUAUGACACUCGCUGGGAAGCUAAGGCAACCUCUCAAGCAACCCAUCCAAAUUCUGCAUUUAUCCAGUAAUUGUAAAAGAAAAAUGAAUUAUGAGGAAAUUAUAGGAGAUCGUGUUCGCUUUGGCCAUGAAGGGUAUCAGCAAGUUGUUCCCCAUACAGAUGCUGUGUUGGAACCAGCGAUGCAAGGGCGGGAUAUGAUCCGUCAUGCGUUUGGGGUUCCCAUAUUGGAUAAAAUCCACAUACACAAUGCCAAACAUGGGUUUGUAUCUCGAAUCACAUUCAUUAGUUAGAUAAUUAAUGUGCUUCGAUAGGGGUUUUCAAUAUCAUUAUCUAAUUUCCCAUUUGCAACAUUUUCUUUUUGGUAAUUGGAGUGUGUAUGCGAUUUAUGUUCGAUUAUAUAUGGGUGUGGAAAGUAUCCUUUGGAUUUGGUUUUGGCCUCAACAAGAGAACGCAUAAAGCAAGUUGAGAAGGAAUUUCGUGAUGCAGCACCUGGUUUGGAUAUGUGUCUAUGGUGGUACCCCAUUUCAAGGCGAAUGAGAGUGCUUGACUAUGAUAUGCAGAUCUUCGAGAGGAUAAGCACUAUUUGGCUGAUUGCCCAAAAUUGGUACUUGUGACCACUGCACACUGCACAGGUGUAGUUUCUUUUUAUAUUAUCUUGAAUUGACGACAAAUAGUGUUUACUAGAAAUUGGUACCCGAGCGUUACUGUGGAAUUAGAAAUUGUAAAAAAAAAUUAUCAUAGACGAUUAAUAUUAUUUACAUUAAAAAUGUUAGAAGAUUUUAAUAAACAAAAGAUUUAAUCUAUACAGUCCACACAUACAUCAAAAGAAAACGUGAAUGCACUUGUAGUGUUAUUUUUCAAUACAUGAUAGAUAUCUUUAGUAAUGAACAACCUACCACGUCUUCUAGGCUCUUCAAUAUAUUGUUUGUGAACAAUUACCCAACCCAUUUCUUGUGUCAUAUCACCCAUUUCUUGUGCCAUAUCAUCCAUCUCUAUGGUUUCCCAUUUCGAAUGAUUCCAUAUGAGAGACCUAUCACAGAGAACUCUAAUUCCAUCUGCUGCGCAUAAAUCACCAUGCAUUUGGCCGAAGUCUACCAUCUUUUUUACAUCCUCAAUAUGAUCCCCUUAAGUGUGCUCAAUACAUCCGCCCUGCAAAAUAUGAUUAUGAAUGAUCAGAGUCAUCGCUUGUCUAUAAGAUUUGUUGAAAUCCGAUAGUCAUAAGUAGAAACUGAAGUUUAUAUAAUGGAUAUCCCUUCCUAUAAAAAACACAAAAAUAAAAAUUUGAAAAGAAAUAGUCCCAAGUAGAAAUUGAUUCAAGUUACAAAGUUACCACUCCCACUUGCUGCGGGCUCUUCUUGUUCUUAUCGCGACAUGAUAUCAAAUUUUAAUUCCUUAGCAUCUUCGGCAUACAACGGGCAUAUGCCCCACUUUUCCAUUGUAUAGUGUGCAUCUCGGUAGAAGAGAAGAGACACCUCAGUGACACGGCAGUAAAAAUCAGAGGACCAUUUUGCUCCCUCUUCAUAUUCAAGGUCUUUAUACAAUACGAACACAUGCUUUUUUUCUAAUCUGCAACUAUAUUCUCCGUCUUCCCAUGGACAAUUGAAAUAACAAUUGAUUUCAUGACUUUCCCCCUCUUUAGUUUUGAAAUUGUACUUGCAUCCAAACCGCACUCACUGUUUAACAUUGAUAGUGGAUGCAACAACAGAUAGAGCGAAACCCAAGAAACCUUCACGAAACCAAUUUGCAGGAAGCUGAACAUUUAUUAAAGCCCCGUAGCCGGAAGAGGAUCUCUUUUCCCCCACUACGAUGACGGAUCUCUUUCUCCUCACUAGGAUGACAUUCAUUCUCACUAGAAUGACACUCGUACGAAAAUAGCCCACUACUACGUUCGAACCAAAAUGGAAUUGCAUAUCCCGGCCAUACAACGGUAACUAAGGGCUCAGAAAACUUUUCCUGCAACAUUGAUUGACAUCAUGUUACUUAACAGAGAGAGAGAGAG